AAUAACUUCAUCUUUCAGUUUUUUGAUAUAAUGUUUUGACUCUUCGUCUUAUUUAAAAAAAUUUUGUGAUUAAUAUUUUUAUUUUUACUAGAUGAUAAAAUAUGAAUAGUACUUUAUACGUGACUAAUUUUUUCAAGUUUUUUAUAAAUUUUUCAAAUAAGACGAAUGGUUAAACGUUCGGCACAUAAAGUUAUUAUGAGACGGAGG
rnacentral:pre_miRNA from 1 species